rnacentral:rRNA from 1 species
AACGAACGCUGGCGGCAGGCCUAAUACAUGCAAGUCGAACGGGCGUAGCAAUACGUCAGUGGCGGACGGGUGAGUAACACGUGGGAACAUGCCUUUCGGUUCGGAAUAACGCAGGGAAACUUGCGCUAAUACCGGAUGACCCGGCGACGGAAAAGAUUAUCGCCGAAAGAUUGGCCCGCGUAGGAUUAGCUAGUUGGUGAGGUAACGGCCCACCAAGGCGACGAUCCUUAGCUGGUUGAGAGAACGAUCAGCCACACUGGGACUGAGACACGGCCCAGACUCCUACGGGAGGCAGCAGUAGGGAAUCUUGGACAAGU